rnacentral:rRNA from 1 species
AACCAGCACCUCAAGUGGUCAGGAUGAUUAUUGGGCCUAAAGCAUCCGUAGCCGGCUCUGUAAGUUCUCGGUUAAAUCUAUGCGCUCAACGUAUGGGCUGCCGAAAAUACUGUAGAGAUAGGGAGUGGGAGAGGUAGACGGUACUCGGUAGGAAGGGGUAAAAUCCUUUGAUCUAUCGAUGACCACCUGUGGCGAAGGCGACCUCCUGGACGAUGACUGACGCUGAGGCGCGAAAGCGUGGGUAGCAAACAGG